ACGAACGCUGGCGGCGUGCUUCACACCUGCAAGUCGAACGAAGAGCGAUGGAAGCUUGCUUCUAUCAAUCUUAGUGGCGAACGGGUGAGUAACGCGUAAUCAACCUGCCCUUCAGAGGGGGACAACAGUUGGAAACGACUGCUAAUACCGCAUACGAUCUAAUCUCGGCAUCGAGGAUAGAUGAAAGGUGGCCUCUACAUGUAAGCUAUCACUGAAGGAGGGGAUUGCGUCUGAUUAGCUAGUUGGAGGGGUAACGGCCCACCAAGGCGAUGAUCAGUAGCCGGUCGGAGAGGAUGAACGGCCACAUUGGGACUGAGACACGGCCCAGACUCCUACGGGAGGCAGCAGUGGGGAAUCUUCCGCAAUGGACGAAAGUCUGACGGAGCAACGCCGCGUGAGUGAUGACGGCCUUCGGGUUGUAAAGCUCUGUUAAUCGGGACGAAAGGCCUUCUUGCGAAUAGUGAGAAGGAUUGACGGUACCGGAAUAGAAAGCCACGGCUAACUACGUG
rnacentral:rRNA from 1 species